rnacentral:sRNA from 1 species
GCCAGGUGCAGUGAUGCACACCUGUAAUCCCAGAGGCUCAGGAGGCUGAGGCAGGAGGAUUGUGAAUUCAAAGCCAGCCUCAGCUAAAGCAAAGCACUAAGCAACUCAGACCCUGUCUCUA